rnacentral:rRNA from 1 species
UUUAAGGUUUGGCCUGCUCCAUGAUGACAUUAAAUAGCCGCAGUAUUUUGACUGUGCAAAGGUAGCAUAAUCAUUAGUUUUUUAAUUGAAAGCUGGAAUGAAUGGUCGGAUGAGAAAGAAUCUGUCUCAUUUUAAUUUUAUUUGAAUUUUAUUUUUAAGUUAAAAAGCUUAAAUUUUAUAGAAAGACGAGAAGACCCUAUAGAGUUUAAUAAGUUACAAUUUAAUUAUUUAAGGGUUAUAAUAUGGUUAUUUUGUUGCUUAUUUUGUUGGGGUGACAGAAGAAUUGAAAGAACUUCUUAAAAUUUUUACAUUGAUUUAUGAGUUGAUGAUCCUGACAUUUGGAUUUAGAGAAUAAAUUACCUUAGGGAUAACAGCGUAAUCUUUUUGGAGAGUUCUUAUCGAUAAAGGGGAUUGCGACCUCGAUGUUGGAUUAAAGUUAAUUUUUGGUGUAGAAGCUAGAAUUUUGAGUCUGUUCGACUCUUGAAACUUUACA